CGACGAAUUAGCGAGGAAACCCGUUUCGUCGUUAUACGUUUGUCGUAACGCAUAUAUCCUCGCUAUUUCGUCGUAAGGUAGCGAGGAAAUAAUUUCGUCGUAAAAGCGAAGGAGGAUAUUUCGUCGUAAAGACCACGUAAAGGUUCCACGUAAGGACGUCGCUACAUUUCCUCGUAAAUACCACGAAAAACUUUCCUCGUAAAACCCACGUAAACAAAUACUCGUAAAAUAAACGUAAAUACCUUGACAGCUUUCCA
rnacentral:lncRNA from 1 species